GAAAGUAAAAGUCGUAACAAGGUCUCCGUUGGUGAACCAGCGGAGGGAUCAUUACUGGAAUCGCAAGAUCCCACAACCCCUGUGAACCUACCGAAACGUUGCCUCGGCGGGCGCCCGGCCCCGCGCCGGGCGCUGAGCCCGCCGGCGGCCCCCUACUCUUGUCUCUGCAGCGUGGCAUCUCAGAGUCCAGAAAACAAGUAAAAACUUUCAACAACGGAUCUCUUGGCUCUA
rnacentral:misc_RNA from 1 species